UUAUAAGAUGAACUAACUUUGACUUUUUAUAAUACAUAGUCGUGAUCUGAUUAUAUCAUCGGGUCUGUUUAUACGCAAUAAAAAAAGAACCUGUUCAUUUAUCCAGGUUCUUUUUUUU
rnacentral:sRNA from 1 species